UCGUCAUCGAGUAGUCGAGAAAACGACUUGACGUCUUUUGUAAUAGAAUGAAUGGAAUUUUUAUAAAUAGUCUUUUAGAAUAAAAAAAUGGUUAAUUGUUGCUCGUGUGGUGCGAUACAAAAAAAAGGAUGUUUGGAAACAUUCCAUAUGAACUUAAUACCUCGCCUGUAAUAGAAUUGGAUAUCUGAGGUAUAUAGUCAUCGACAAGUUUCAAAGUCUGCAAAAAACAAUACAUACUUUGUCAUCAAAAGAAGUCUGAAACAAUGUUGAAUGAACAAGUGCAAGAAACGAUAUCAAACCCAUCUCAUGAAAUUGAAACUGUUGUACCGCAAGUAAUGAACAUCACAAUUGAUAAUACUACACGAACUAUUGAAGACGUAUCAACUUCUGCAGAAAUAAUAUGUACAACGGAAGUAAUGAAAUCCAGUUCAACAAAAACGCAAGAGAAUGUUGCAUCUUGCAGUUAUUACCCACAAGCAGACGAUUCACCGAGAGAAAUACAUUUAAAACGGAAAAUUCGAGAAAUGGCGGACAAAGAAAAAUUACUUACAAAACGCGUCUUAUGAUUGCAACAAUUAAAUUUUCGACAGAAACAUCGAAUUAAAAAUUUGACAUCCAUUGUAAAAAAUUUAAAAAAUAAUGGCAUGAUCAGCGCGGAAGAAAUACUGAUAAAUGGUUUCGGUUGUCAUAAAAAUCUAUUUUCUAGUCUUUUUACAAAAAGGCACAAGAACACAAAGAAAUAUAACGAAAUUAUUCGUAAGUUUGUUAUAACUUUACAUUAUUUUUCGCCAAGAGCAUAUAAUUAUGUCAGAAAUACUUUGAAAGGUUCUUUACCUCAUGAAAAACCUUAGCCAAAUGGUAUAAAACCAUUAAUGCAGAACCUGGAUUUACGUCCGAAUGCUUUGAUAUGUUAAAAAAAAGACGAAUAUAUAGAAAAAAAUAUUCUUUGUUCUCUUGUGAUAGAUGAGAUAAGUAUACGUUAGCAUGUCGAAUGGGUAAAUGAUAAAGUUUAUGGGCUUGUAAAUAUUGGGAAUAAUAUCGAUGAUGAAAGAAUAGGUUACGCAAGAGAAGCUUUCGUGUUCAUGUUAGUGGCUAUAAA